GUAUUUCCUUAAGCCUGUUAUUUAACAUACACCCUUUUAGAAAAAGCAUCAUCUCCUACUGUUCCUAACUGUAACAUUUGUAAGUGGAUGGAAGAUCAGCCAACAAUGACAGCCUCUACUGGAUAACAUUAUCUGCAGCUAUGAAAACCUAUUUUUAAACCUGAAGGAUGUGAUAAGACUAUGUAUAUGCUAGGAAGAAGUCUGAGCUUUUUCCCUUGGUCCUCAGGGAAGAUGAGAAGGCCAGACUGGAAAAAGCUUAUGGAUCAAAGGUCACUUUAAGGAGAAUGACUUAUUUAUGAACCUUACACGAUCAAGUCCUCCACGGGAAACUUUAUCCUGAUGGAAAAAUUAUAAUCACCCAAGGAACUGCAUGGAUCCUGCUGUCCUCCAAGUGCAAAAACAAAGGAAUGGUACUAUGCAGGAAGUGCAACAUGGGAGGAGACUCUGAAGAGGAAAGCUCUUUGUCACUUGCAUAGGAACCAGCUACAGAUUAAUAUGAUGACCCUUGCCAGAUGUACCAUGAUACUUCACCUCCGUUCAGUCAGCUUGCAGCGUUCAAGCAGCCACUGCUCAGUGAAUCUGGCAUCUCAGGCCAGGCUAUUAUAUAUUUGGUGGCAUGCAUUUUUCUUCCUCCUCCCACAGAACAUCAGCCCAGAAGCAGAAGCUCAUUUUAGCAGAAUGAAUUGCUUCAUUUUGUGACAAGCAUUUCCAUUCUGUUUCUUUCUCCCAGACUGUCUGCAACUGAUAAGUUUAGUGAAUCAUGCUAGCAAAACAGUAUCGAACUAGAAAAGAUUAUGUCCCUUUAACAUCACACAAAUGAAUGUGCCAUGCAGACCAAAUAUUUGCCUACAAGAGAGCAAUUCAUUUAUUAACAAAAAGUCCUAAAAGCGUGCUGCUGACGAAUGGGUCUCCCAAGCCAGCCCGCACAGGUCAUGAAUCCCAGGCCUCAGGGUGCUCAGCCCCGAGUGACAUGCUGAAAAGGCUGCUGAUGGAAGAAACUCUGCUCUGCAGUCCAGCUUCUAGCACAUCUGUCAAACCUCAGCUACAGACUUCUGCAUUCUGCUCUGUUUUUCCACAUCCAGCUACUUUCCUGGCAGUUGAGGGCCAUUGGAACACAUACAGGAACAAUACAAACAGCCAGAUUAGCAGCCUGCGAGGGAGACAGCGGCCAUAUUUGUAAAUGCACCAUUUCUGGAAACCACAGAUAGCACCAAAAGAGCACAAAUCAGAGCCAGUUCCUGGGCACUCACCUCUCUGACAGAAGUUUUUUUUUCAAGACAGAAUGUUGUUCACCUUCCCACAGCAUCAACCAGCCUCCUCUGGCUGAAUUUUAGCUGCUGAGUUUCCUACUAGCAUGGGCUGACUGCAUAGGCCUCACUCCAGCUCAUAUCUUACACAGUACAACGCAGGCAUAAGUAAAAUCUGAUACAGUUCUCACUGUUUACUUAAGGCUAAUCAUAUUGAAAAUCUAAUUCCAGGGAAUACAGUGCUCUUGCAGUGACUGAAAACCUUGUAAAAAGGUGACCAAUUAAUAUGUCUGAUAUUAAAAUUCUGUGACUAGCCACUUCUUCUAACUCAUAGCUGAAAUGCUUCAGCAAGUAAAAAAUACUUAUGACUUCAUCUCAUAAUUCAUUCAUUAUAAGAUGACAUUUUCUGUUUAGACAUACUUAAACUGGUCACAUUUUCUGAGAACAGUGAAGAUUUCCCACCCUGUGUUGCUUUUGUUCAUAUUCCAAUUUGGACUGCAUUCUGGUAGUCUCUGGUACCAAUUCCCAGUUCAAACACUAAUUUUGGUUACGCCAAUGGGGUGUCCCUGUCACACAGGUAGU
rnacentral:lncRNA from 7 species